UACAGAGGGUGCAAGCGUUAAUCGGAAUUACUGGGCGAAAGCGUGCGUAGACGGUUAUGUAAGUCAGAUGUGAAAGCCCAGGGCUCAACCUUGGAAUUGCAUUUGAGACUGCAUAGCUAGGGUGCGGAAGAGGGAAGCGGAAUUUCCGGUGUAGCGGUGAAAUGCGUAGAUAUCGGAAGGAACACCAGUGGCGAAGGCGGCUUCCUGGUCCAGCACCGACGUCAGGCACGAAAAGCGUGGGGGAGCAAACAGAA
rnacentral:rRNA from 1 species